UGGAACGUCACAUUGACACCAAGCUGAAGGGGUUUUAUACCUGGGAUGACGGACUGCAGGUGGAACGUCACAUUGACACCAAGCUGAAGGGGGUUUUAUACCUGGGAUGACGGACUGCAGGUGGAACGUCACAUUGACACCAAGCUGAAGGGGGUUUAUACCUGGGAUGACGGGCUGCAGGUGGAACGUCACAUUGACACCAAGCUGAAGGGGGUUUUAUCUGUACCUGGGAUGACGGGCUGCAGGUGGAACGUCACAUUGACACCAAGCUGAAGGGGUUUUAUACCUGGGAUGACGGACUGCAGGUGGAACGUCACAUU